rnacentral:tRNA from 1 species
GUUGAAAUGGCUGAGACUAGGCGGUAAACUGUAAAUUUAUUUACGAGGGGAUCCUCUUUUAACA